rnacentral:rRNA from 1 species
UCUUUGGCCGCCCGAGUUGUAAUCUAGAGAAGUAAUGCCCGUGCUGGACCGUGUAUAAGUCUCCUGGGAUGGGGCGUCAUAGAGGGUGAGAAUCCCGUCUUUGACACGGACUACCAGUGCAUUGUGGUAUGCUCUCAAAGAGUCGAGUUGUUUGGGAAUGCAGCUCAAAAUGGGUGGUAAAUUCCAUCUAAAGCUAAAUAUUGGCGAGAGACCGAUAGCGAACAAGUACCGUGAGGGAAAGAUGAAAAGAACUUUGGAAAGAGAGUUAAACAGUACGUGAAAUUGCUGAAAGGGAAACGCUUGAAGUCAGUCGCGUUGGCCGGGAAUCAGCCUUGCUUUUGCAUGGUGUACUUUCUGGUUGACGGGUCAGCAUCAAUUUUGAUCACUGGAAAAGGCUCAAGGGAAUGUGGCAGCUUCGGCUGUGUUAUAGCCCCUGUUCACAUACAGUGGUUGGGAUUGAGGAACUCAGCACGCCGCAAGGCCGGGUUUCGACCACGUUCGUGCUUAGGAUGCUGGCAUAAUGGCUUUAAGCGACCCGUCUUGAAACACGGACCAAGGAGUCUAACAUGCCUGCGAGUAUUUGGGUGGAAAACCCAGGUGCGCAAUGAAAGUGAAAGUUGUGAUCCCUGUCGUGGGGAGCAUCGACGCCCGGACCAGAACUUUUGGGACGGAUCCGCGGUGGAGCAUGUAUGUUGGGACCCGAAAGAUGGUGAACUAUGCCUGAAUAGGGUGAAGCCAGAGGAAACUCUGGUGGAAGGCUCGUAGCGAUUCUGACGUGCAAAUCGAUCGUCAAAUUUGGGUAUAGGGGCGAAAGACUAAUCGAACCAUCUAGUAGCUGGUUCCUGCCGAAGUUUCCCUCAGGAUAGCAGAAACUCAUAUCAGAUUUAUGUGGUAAAGCGAAUGAUUAGAGGCCUUGGGGU